UACGUAGGGGCUAGCGUUAUCCGGAUUUACUGGGCGUAAAGGGUGCGUAGGUGGUUUCUUAAGUCAGAGGUGAAAGGCUACGGCUCAACCGUAGUAAGCCUUUGAAACUGGGAAACUUGAGUGCAGGAGAGGAGAGUGGAAUUCCUAGUGUAGCGGUGAAAUGCGUAGAUAUUAGGAGGAACACCAGUUGCGAAGGCGGCUCUCUGGACUGUAACUGACGCUGAGGCACGAAAGCGUGGGGAGCAAACAGGAUUAGAUACCCCUGUAGUCCCUGAGCGGG
rnacentral:rRNA from 1 species